rnacentral:rRNA from 1 species
UAAUAAAAUAGGACGGCAUGGUUCUAUUUUGUUGGUUUCUAGGAUCACCGUAAUGAUUAAUAGGGAUAGUUGGUGGCAUUAGUAUUCAAUUGUCAGAGGUGAAAUUCUUGGAUUUAUUGAAGACUAACUACUGCGAAAGCAUUUGCCAAGGAUGUUUUCAUUAAUCAAGAACGAAAGUUAGGGGAUCGAAGACGAUCAGAUACCGUCGUAGUCUUAACCAUAAACUAUGCCGACUAGGGAUCGGGCGAUGUUGUUUCAAUGACUCGCUCGGCACCUUAUG